GACGAACGCUGGCGGCGUGCUUAACACAUGCAAGUCGAACGGAAAGGCCCUGCUUUUGUGGGGUGCUCGAGUGGCGAACGGGUGAGUAACACGUGAGUAACCUGCCCUUGACUUUGGGAUAACUUCAGGAAACUGGGGCUAAUACCGGAUAGGAGCUCCUGCUGCAUGGUGGGGGUUGGAAAGUUUCGGCGGUUGGGGAUGGACUCGCGGCUUAUCAGCUUGUUGGUGGGGUAGUGGCUUACCAAGGCUUUGACGGGUAGCCGGCCUGAGAGGGUGACCGGCCACAUUGGGACUGAGAUACGGCCCAGACUCCUACGGGAGGCAGCAGUGGGGAAUAUUGCACAAUGGGCGGAAGCCUGAUGCAGCAACGCCGCGUGCGGGAUGACGGCCUUCGGGUUGUAAACCGCUUUCGCCUGUGACGAAGCGUGAGUUACGGUAAUGGGUAAAGAAGCACCGGCUAACUACGUGCCAGCAGCCGCGGUGAUACGUAGGGUGCGAGCGUUGUCCGGAUUUAUUGGGCGUAAAGGGCUCGUAGGUGGUUGAUCGCGUCGGAAGUGUAAUCUUGGGGCUUAACCCUGAGCGUGCUUUCGAUACGGGUUGACUUGAGGAAGGUAGGGGAGAAUGGAAUUCCUGGUGGAGCGGUGGAAUGCGCAGAUAUCAGGAGGAACACCAGUGGCGAAGGCGGUUCUCUGGGCCUUUCCUGACGCUGAGGAGCGAAAGCGUGGGGAGCGAACAGGCUUAGAUACCCUGGUAGUCCACGCUGUAAACGGUGGGUACUAGGUGUGGGGUCCAUUCCACGGGUUCCGUGCCGUAGCUAACGCUUUAAGUACCCCGCCUGGGGAGUACGGCCGCAAGGCUAAAACUCAAAGGAAUUGACGGGGCCCCGCACAAGCGGCGGAGCAUGCGGAUUAAUUCGAUGCAACGCGUAGAACCUUACCUGGGUUUGACAUGGAUCGGGAGCGCUCAGAGAUGGGUGUGCCUCUUUUGGGGUCGGUUCACAGGUGGUGCAUGGCUGUCGUCAGCUCGUGUCGUGAGAUGUUGGGUUAAGUCCCGCAACGAGCGCAACCCUUGUUCACUGUUGCCAGCACGUUAUGGUGGGGACUCAGUGGAGACCGCCGGGGUCAACUCGGAGGAAGGUGGGGAUGACGUCAAGUCAUCAUGCCCCUUAUGUCCAGGGCUUCACGCAUGCUACAAUGGCUGGUACAGAGAGUGGCGAGCCUGUGAGGGUGAGCGAAUCUCGGAAAGCCGGUCUCAGUUCGGAUUGGGGUCUGCAACUCGACCUCAUGAAGUCGGAGUCGCUAGUAAUCGCAGAUCAGCAACGCUGCGGUGAAUACGUUCCCGGG
rnacentral:rRNA from 1 species